AUUGAACGCUGGCGGCAGGCCUAACACAUGCAAGUCGAACGGAGCGGCGGACGGGUGAGUAAUGCCUAGGAAUGUGCCCGGUAGUGGGGGAUAACGACCGGUAAGGGGCGCUAAUACCGCAUACUAUUAGAUGAGCCUAGGUCGGAUUAGCUUGUUGGUGGGGUAAAGGCCUACCAAGGCGACGAUCCGUAGCUGGGCUGAGAGGAUGAUCAGUCACACUGGAACUGAGACACGGUCCAGACUCCUACGGGAGGCAGCAGUGGGGAAUAUUGGACAAUGGGCGAAAGCCUGAUCCAGCCAUGCCGCGUGUGUGAAGAAGGUCUUCGGGUUGUAAAGCACUUUCAGCAGGGAGGCGUUACCAGCAGAAUAAGCACCGGCUAACUUCGUGCCAGCAGCCGCGGUAAUAC
rnacentral:rRNA from 1 species